AGAGUUUGAUCAUGGCUCAGAUUGAACGCUGGCGGCAUGCUUUACACAUGCAAGUCGAACGGUAACGCGGGGGCAACCCUGGCGACGAGUGGCGAACGGGUGAGUAAUACAUCGGAACGUGUCCUGAGGUGGGGGAUAACCUAUCGAAAGGUAGGCUAAUACCGCAUACGCUCGGGAGAGGAAAGCGGGGGAUCGGUAACGACCUCGCGCUGCAGGAGCGGCCGAUGUCCGAUUAGCUAGUUGAUGGGGUAAAGGCUUACCAAGGCGACGAUCGGUAGCUGGUCUGAGAGGAUGAUCAGCCACACUGGGACUGAGACACGGCCCAGACUCCUACGGGAGGCAGCAGUGGGGAAUUUUGGACAAUGGGGGCAACCCUGAUCCAGCCAUGCCGCGUGAGUGAAGAAGGCCUUCGGGUUGUAAAGCUCUUUCGGUGGGAACGAAACGGUUACCACUAACACUGGUGACUACUGACGGUACUCACAGAAGAAGCACCGGCUAACUACGUGCCAGCAGCCGCGGUAAUACGUAGGGUGCGAGCGUUAAUCGGAAUUACUGGGCGUAAAGCGUGCGCAGGCGGUGGCUCAGGCCAGGCGUGAAAUCCCCGGGCUUAACCUGGGAAUGGCGUUUGGGACUGGGUCGCUAGAGUGUGGCAGAGGGAGGUGGAAUUCCACGUGUAGCAGUGAAAUGCGUAGAGAUGUGGAGGAACACCGAUGGCGAAGGCAGCCUCCUGGGCCAGCACUGACGCUCAUGCACGAAAGCGUGGGGAGCAAACAGGAUUAGAUACCCUAGUAGUCC
rnacentral:rRNA from 1 species